GGGGUGGGGGUGAAGGCAACUUAGAAGUUCUUGCUCACACAACACAAAAGAACUCUUUCAAAUAUCUUCCAAGAAUGGAAUUCAGAGCUGAGAGGUGUGUUUGUUAUCAACUCUGUGGGCUGCGUACCUGUGAGGACAGUGGCACUUUGAGCUUCAUUUUCCCACAGUCUCCUGUCAAAGUGCCUGCUCUGUGUUACGGGGGCUCUCCCUGGGAAUCACAGUGUGAACUGGGUAACUUAUUUCUAUCUCUGAUCAGGAUCAGGUCCACAGCCUUCUCCCUGCCUUUCUGCAGUUUCCAGGAUGGAUCUUUCAAACUCCCCCAUCUUCUGGUUUCUCACUUACCAAGGUUUCCCUGGAGACAGCAGAGAGAAAUAUGUGAUAGGGACAAGAAUAUGAGGCACCUUCCAUGAACUUCCCACCAAAGACAAAAAUACUGUCACCAGAACCACGAGCAUUCUAAGUGAACAAGGAAGCCCCAGAUGCCCAAAGCACUCCAUUCUGUGAUGUCUACACUUACCAACAACGACAACAAGAAGAGCAUGAUAUGGAGGAGGGCUCAGUAAACAUUUUCUGUAAAGUGCCAGAUGGUAAAUAAUUCAGAUUCUCUGUGGGUCACACGGUCUUCGUCACAACACUCAACUCUGCUGCUGCGGCACAAAAGCACUGUUAACAGAUCCAGCUCUCAAGUGCAGUAUCUCAUUUGCUCUACCUGAGCUCCAUGUUGGAAGAAACCGACAGUGAGGGAGAAAUGACUUACCCAAGGUCACACCACAAGCAACUAGCAGAGCCAGUAAUAAAGCCAGCUCGUCUGACCCAGACAUCUGUGCACUCCAGUCAGCUGGCUUAUAAGACAGAGUAUUUUCUGUCUCUGAAAAAGAGCUGAUUUGAAGGAUAAGUACAAAGAGGCUGACAUAGUCUU